rnacentral:rRNA from 1 species
UACGUAGGGUGCGAGCGUUGCCCGGAUUUAUUGGGCGUAAAGGGCGCGUAGGCGGCUCGCACGUCGUUGUGAAAUCGCCCGGCUCAACUGGGCGGGUCAGCGGAUACGGCCGGAGCUUGAGCAAGCUAGGGGGCAAUGGAAUUCCCGGUGUAGUGGUGGAAUGCGUAGAGAUCGGGAGGAACACCUGUGGCGAAGGCGGCCCCCUGGGCCGGCCCGCUGACACUGAGACGCGAAGGCGUGGGGAGCAAACAGG